rnacentral:rRNA from 1 species
UGGGGAAUAUUGGGCAAUGGGCGAAAGCCUGACCCAGCGACGCCGUGUGGGCGAUGAAGGCCUUCGGGUUGUAAAGCCCUGUGAGGUGGAAAGAAGGGCCCAGAGGUUAAUACCCUUUGGGCUUUGACGGUACCACCAGAGGAAGCACCGGCUAACUCCGUGCCAGCAGCCGCGGUAAUACGGAGGGUGCAAGCGUUGUGCGGAAUUACUGGGCGUAAAGGGCGCGGAGGUGGUUGGGUAAGUCAGAGGUGAAAUCCCGAGGCUCAACUUCGGAACUGCAUCUGAAACUGCAUGACUAGAGUACAGGAGAGGGAAACGGAAUUCCUGGUGUAGAGGUGAAAUUCGUAGAUAUCAGGAGGAACACCGGUGGCGAAGGCGGUUUCCUGGGCUGAUACUGACACUGAGGCGCGAAAGCGUGGGGAGCAAACA